GCUCAGGAUAAUGACACUGACAAAACAAUCAUUCCAGGCAUGCCAACUGUUAUUCCUAAUGGAUUGUCAGAUGAUCAAGAAAAACAGUACCUGUUGCAUCUUCAGAUAGAGGAAGUUAGUCGUAGACUACGAACUGGAGACUUGGGCAUCCCUCCUAAUCCUGAAGAAAGGUCGCCAUCCCCUGAGCCUAUCUACAACAACGAGGGUAAGCGGUUGAACACCAGAGAGUACCGAACGCGUAAAAACCUUGAGGAGGAGCGCCACCAGUUGGUACAGCAGGCCAUCUCCCUUAACUGUGAUUACAAACCUCCAGCAGAUUACAAGCCUCCCAUCGUGAGGGUGAACGACAAGGUGAUGAUACCACAGGAUGAACACCCAGAGAUCAAUUUUGUGGGGCUCUUAAUUGGACCAAGAGGGAACACACUCAAAAAUCUUGAAAAAGAUACAGGAGCAAAAAUCAUCAUACGUGGCAAAGGUUCAGUAAAAGAAGGAAAAAUAGGUCGAAAGGAUGGACAGCCAUUGCCUGGGGAGGAUGAGCCUCUUCAUGCUUAUGUGACAGCCAACAAUCCAGAAAAUGUCAAGAAGGCUGUUGAAAAGAUCAAAGAAAUAAUUCAACAAGGUAUUGAGGUUCCUGAGGGCCAGAAUGACUUGCGGCGCCAACAGCUACGAGAAUUGGCCUUGUUAAAUGGGACUUUAAGGGAAAAUGAUGGCUUAGCAAAACUGAAGCAGUUACAGCAGGCUCAGACCAUCAUCACAAACACCAUUAUUUGUUCUCUGUGUGGAGGCACUGGUCAUAUUGCACAGGACUGCAAAUCAAAAAAACCUGGAGAUUCUUUCAAAAAUUUUCCUCAGAAUGGAAACCCUGUGUCUCAAGCUGACAAAGCCAAAAUGGACAGUGAGUACAUGUCCUUGAUGGCAGAGUUAGGAGAGGGUCCACCCCCACCCAAAACACAGACACAUCCUACCCCGGCUGUACAGACAUACAGACCUUCAUUUAGUCAGCCCCCACCAAACCCCAUGGCAGUAAAUCCACCAUGGCAACAGCCAGCUCGACCCCCUCCACCUCAGGUGGUGUCCAAUAUAAGUCUGAGCUCACCUGUACAAUCAUCGCAGGUACAAACCACAGCCCAGCCUCCAGUCAGUUACAAUAUUCAAGGUGUACAGCCCCCGAUGGGGAUUUCCACCAGCAUACAGCAACCUGUGGGCAUGCAGCAGCCUGGGCACAUGCACAUGCCAGCCCCUGUGGCACCCCCUUCUCAUUACUCGUCCGCGGGUGGACCUGUCCCACCCCCCUGGCAGUCAAACACGAUGACAUCUCAAAACAGUGCUGUGUCUUCUGCUGGUGGUGGUGUACCACCUCCAUCUUUGUUGUCGGCCCCACCCCCUCCUCCUCCAAGCAGCCAGCCUCCGUCAUCUUGGAUGCAGCAAGCACAAGGUGUACCUCCACCGCCUCCUAUAACAUCAGCGUCACCAUGGCAAGCUGCACCACCCCCUCCCAACAGCAUGCCGCCAUGGCAACAGCCCCCGCCAAUGCCAAGUGGUGUUGCCCCUCCUCCACCGCCCCCACCGGGCCAGCAAGGUUACAGCCCCAUGGCGGUUCCUCCACCCCCUCCUCCAGGGGCUUUUGACAUGAAUACCCUGGGUAUGCUUGGGGCACCGCCACCUCCUCCACCUACUUAAUGAUGGCUCCUAUUUAGCUUGAAAGUGCAACAUGACACUGUGAACAGUGCAUUAAUUUUAGGUCAGAGGGAAAUACUUGUGUACUUUUGGUGAUUAAUUUUAUGGACUAUUGAAUUGAUUGAAUACAUAAAAAUGUGUGAGCAUCAAUUUAUGUAUAUUUUAAUUGAGUACUGGAAAUGUGCGAACAUAAAUUUAGGCAUAUUUUAUCUUUGUUUACUACACAUGUACAUUUAUUAAAGUGCAUCAAUUUUUACAUCAUUCAUUUCAUUAUUGUUGAUGCACUCCAAGUCAUUUGUUUUCUCUCAUAGCUCAGUAAAUGCUAAAUGGCAAAUGAGUACGCAAUACGAUACAAAUUGAUUUUAGGUGCUGUGAAUUAUGUCCAAUGCACUUUAAAUAAAAUAUAUACUUUU
rnacentral:sRNA from 1 species